UACGUAGGGUGCAAGCGUUAAUCGGAAUUACUGGGCGUAAAGCGUGCGCAGGCGGUUGGGCAAGACAGAUGUGAAAUCCCCGGGCUCAACCUGGGAACUGCAUUUGUGACUGCAUGGCUAGAGUGCGGCAGAGGGGGAUGGAAUUCCGCGUGUAGCAGUGAAAUGCGUAGGUAUGCGGAGGAACACCGAUGGCGAAGGCAAUCCCCUGGGCCUGCACUGACGCUCAUGCACGAAAGCGUGGGGAGCAAACAGG
rnacentral:rRNA from 1 species